GGUGGGGUGGGUGGCGGGCAAGGGCGGCGCGCUGGGUGUGGGUAGGUGGCUUGCUGCUCCUGAAGGGGUACCCUCGGAAUUAUGGCUGGCUGGCCCGCUCAGGGAAAAGACAGUUUAGGAUUCUGGAAUUAGGAUGCGGCAGCCUCCUUCUCAUAUCUGGAGCCGCUUGGUCUCUUUUUAAGGCUGUAACCCUUUCUCUUGCUAGAGCCUUCAGAAGUCUGGACAACGGAAGGGUGCUGCGGGGAGGCCUGCUAGCUCCCCUCUCCUUUCCCUCUGAGCUGGUGCCUCCAGUGACAAGUUUUGGCUGUGGAGCCUGGUCUUUCUGCAAAGGAAAUUGGUUGGUUGUUUUCCAUGCUAGAGCAGCCUUUUGGAAGCAAGGCAAGGGGUGCACUGUCCUGGCCCCUGUCUCUGCUGCCCACGCCUGCCCACCUUCAGGUGUUUUCUGCUGCUGACUCUGAUCUUGAGCGGGCACUUCCUGGCCCAGCCAGCUACAAUGUUCUCACUUCCAUGAGAACAAGAAUGUCCGAUUUGGUCUUCAGACAAGGGAAGGAGCGCUGCCUUCUAACAAGCAUUGUGCUGGGCUCAUUGCAUCCAUGGUCACAUUCCAUGCCCACUCCCAUCGUAACACUCAUCCUAUCCCACUCCUUGUUACUUCAUGGUUGGUUGAAGUCAGCCCUGGCACUGUCACUGCAGGUUUCAAUACUGUAAUGGCACUGUUGGAAGCCAUCCCUGGGCCUGCAGAUACAAUUUCAGUCCCUUCAGUGCUUGAGGUGACAGGACAUUCUACAGGAGUGGGGGCCAUUCCUCUGCUCCAGCUUGAGACACAUGGGACAGACUCCACAAGAUCAAAACAACCUAGGGGCAUUUACAGUCAUAGAA
rnacentral:lncRNA from 1 species